rnacentral:rRNA from 1 species
AACGAACGCUGGCGGCAGGCCUAACACAUGCAAGUCGAGCGCGCCCUUCGGGGUGAGCGGCGGACGGGUGAGUAACGCGUGGGAACGUGCCCUUCUCUGCGGAAUAGCCUCGGGAAACUGAGAGUAAUACCGCAUACGCCCUUUGGGGGAAAGAUUUAUCGGAGAAGGAUCGGCCCGCGUUGGAUUAGGUAGUUGGUGGGGUAAUGGCCCACCAAGCCGACGAUCCAUAGCUGGUUUGAGAGGAUGAUCAGCCACACUGGGACUGAGACACGGCCCAGACUCCUACGGGAGGCAGCAGUGGGGAAUCUUAGACAAUGGGGGCAACCCUGAUCUAGCCAUGCCGCGUGAGUGAUGAAGGCCUUAGGGUUGUAAAGCUCUUUAAGCUGGGAAGAUAAUGACGGUACCAGCAGAAGAAGCCCCGGCUAACUCCGUG